GCCCUUGCGGAUCCGCGGCCGCUGCAGAGUUUGAUCCUGGCUCAGAACGAACGCUGGCGGCGUGCCUAACACAUGCAAGUUGGACGGACUUAUAUCUGAAGGGUAACUGGAGGGUGUAAGUUAGUGGCGCACGGGUGAGUAACACGUAGAUAACCUACCCUUAAGAGGGGGACAACACAGGGAAACUUGUGCUAAUACCGCAUAAGGCCACGGGUUGGGAUACUUGUGGUAAAAGGGUGGCGACACCGCUUAGGGAUGGGUCUGCGGCCUAUCAGGUAGUUGGUGGGGUAAUGGCCUACCAAGCCUAAGACGGGUAACCGGACUGAGAGGUUGGACGGUCACACUGGAACUGAGAUACGGUCCAGACUCCUACGGGAGGCAGCAGUGGGGAAUUUUGCACAAUGGGCGGAAGCUGAUGCAGCGACGCCGCGUGGAGGAAGAAGGCCUUCGGGUUGUAAACUCCUUUUAUAGGGGGCAAUGGUGAUGGUACCCUAUGAAUAAGCCACGGCUAACUCUGUGCCAGCAGCCGCGGUAAGACAGAGGUGGCGAGCGUUGUUCGGAAUUACUGGGCUUAAAGGGCGCGUAGCGGUU
rnacentral:rRNA from 1 species